rnacentral:rRNA from 1 species
AUUGAACGCUGGCGGCAUGCCUAACACAUGCAAGUCGAACGAGUGGCGGACGGGUGAGUAAUUUCUGGGAAACUGCCUUAUCGAGGCGGAUAACUGCUGGAAACCGUAGCUAAUACCGCAUACCAUCAGAUGUGCUCACAGUGGAUUAGCAUGUUGGUGGGCUAACGGCUCACCAAGGCGACGAUCCCUAGCUGGUCUGAGAGGAUGACCAGCCACACUGGAACUGAGAAACGGUCCAGACUCCUACGGGAGGCAGAAGUGGGGAAUAUUGCACAAUGGGCGAAAGCCUGAUGCAGCCACGCCGCGUGUAUGAAGAAGGCCUUCGGGUUGUAAAGUACUGUCAGCGGGGAGGCGUUACCCGAAGAAGAAGCACCGGCUAACUCCGUGCCAGCCGCCGCGGUAAUUC